rnacentral:miRNA from 1 species
GUUCAGUCGGUAGAGCAUGAG